UUUUUUUUAAAAAGAGUGUUUUUCGGUUUGGCUGCAGAGCUUUACCGGCCAAGAGAACGAAAAGGAAAAUUUUGACCAGCCGUUCCCAAGCUUGUUCAAGAAAGGACGGAGGAAGACGGUGGUGCGGAACCUGGGGAAAAUUAUCUAUUAUUCCAAAGUCAAAUUUAAAUUUCAGCACUGCCAGGAAGUCAACGAUUGCUAUUUGGAGCUCUUUCAAGAGUACCUCUAUUUUCAGUCCCUCGGCCCCAACGUUCACGCCUGCCAGGGUUUGCUACCACUGACAGAACUCCAGCUGACCGAACUUGAAAAUGAAAACGAGGUUCAAGGAGAUCUUCAUGCUUUUCAAAUUACAGGGUGCAACUCGAUAAAGGUGUUGGAUCAUGAACUGAAAAAGCAGGGGUGGGCCAUCCAGCCUCAGACAAGAACACCUGAACUUUAAACUGGCCUCUGCUGUCCCCACUGACGAUCUACUGCUCCAGCCAGGCAGAACAGAAGCAGUGGGUCUACCACCUGGAGAAACAAAUCCAUUUAAACGGAGGACGCCCUGAUUUGCCCCUCGCGACUCAGAGCGAUUGGACGCACGGCCCCCUCGGGAAGGAGCAGCUGCGGUGGUCCAUGCAGAACGCCCACGUGCAAGAAUGGAAGGGCACCCAGCGGAAGUCACUGGGCGACAUCCUUUGUGUCUCAAAAGUGAAGCUGCAGCAUUUGCCUUUCCAGG